CUCCCGCCCUUGCCCUUCCUCCCCCCGCUUCCCUCACGGCGAAGAGCGGUGGGAGGGGACGAUCCGGCCCGGCCGCCUACCGCGGGGGCCGGCUCUGCGAGGAGCGCGCCGCUGCCCUCCGCCGCCCCUUCCCCGGGCGAGCGAGGAGCAGGGGGGGCCCGCACCUGCCCGCUGCCCGCCCGCCGGAGGGGCGAAGGGCGGUAGCCGGGCCCCUCGCAGCUCACUGACGGGAAAGCGGCAGCCCCGCCUGCCGUAGGCCUCAGGCCUCCGCGGCCGCCCCGGUAACGGGAGGGACCGACUCGCUCCCGGCAAUGCCUUUGCGCGUUGCUCGGGGCAGGGAGUUGAGGAUUAAGGGUGCAGUUCGUGGGGACACUUGCUUAAAAUCACGCCCGGGGUGUGGUUUAACCUCGUCCGAGGUUCGGUACCUCGGGUCUCGCCUUUCUUUCCUAGCACCGAGAGGCCGGUUCUGGCAGUUCGGCUUCCACCGAAGCGCUGCGGUGACGUGCGGGCUCCCUUUAACACAAAAAUUAAUAAUCUCCGCUCUUAAGCAGCCUAGAGUUUGCCUCGCAGUCGGUUUUUUUGGAGGUUUCAGUCUCAAGAGGUUGAGGCGUUGCGGGGCUCUGGGUCUCGACGAGCGUUUCUGCGCCAGCAGUCUCAGGCCGAAAUAGCUCGAGUGUUGGAUGCUGGCCUUUGAAUCCGUACUGGCCCCUUUUCCUCCAGCGUGAGCUGCAAGGAGCUCAACAGCAACGGCAUUUAGGUCAGUGCUCGGCUUCAUUUACGUCAAGAAGGCUGUCGGUGUGGACCAAGCCAGCCCGGUCCCCGGGGCUGGAGGAUGGAAUGAGUCAGGAGAUUGUUCUAGUGAUAACACAAAAAAUGCCUCCUCUCUUCUUGCCUGCCUCUGGUUUGCUGACACCUUACUCUUGGUCGCAUUUUUAAAAAGCGUUUGGCGUCGUAUGAUUUACAUCGUGAAAUAAUCUGUUAGUACGAUGGCUCCAUUGUAACACCCAUAAUCUGGCUUUUUGCUGUAGUUACUCCUCUAAUUUGUACAGCAAUGUUUUGAAGUUUGAAUUAAUAUUUGAGGGUAUUUGGUUGUAUUGGAGGAAACUGCCUGACUGGAGAAAGAUUGUAAUGAAGCUUGCUAAUAAUUUUGUGAGGAGUACUUUUUUUAGAUUGAUCCUGGGUUUUGAUUCAUUAGUACUUUCAUUGUGGAGAAUGUAUUUUUUCUGUGUACUUUCAUCAGGAGUGUAAAGCACUUUUGGGUACGUUGAGCAGAAGGAACCGAUGGGCUCUACAGCCACUGAGACUGGCAUUUCUACAUACACAUCAAAGGCGUGGUUCUAAAGGAUGAAGUGGCUGAUCUGCUAAGAAGAAUGCAUCUUGUUAGGAUGAGAUGCUGUGCCAGAAGACUGGAAGCUAUCAAGUGUUGUACGUACCGUACUUUUAAACUGAACACAAGGAGCAGAUCUGGAACUUGCAGACCAAGGACUUGUAUUUUAAUGCCACCACAAUCAUUUGUGUCAUCAUGCAGUGACUUGGAUCAGAAAAUUGAUCCUGACUUCAAGAGGAGUCUAUGGCAAGCGUCAAUUUUUAACCCAGUUCAAUUUUUUCAGAUUAUCUGUAAAUUUUCAAUAAUGGCAAUACAUUCAUUCUGCCAUUUGGAGGAGCCUGUGCCACAGAAUAAUGAUCUGAUGAAAGCUCACUUCUUUGCAAUGAAGAGUCUUCAUUUGGGAAAUAGUACUGAUGCAGCUAAGAGGUGCUUUGUCAAGUUCAGCACAACCUCCUGUACAUGGACAAAACUGGGUUUUCCUCAAUGGAGAGAGUCCUGUGUCUGAAGAAUAAGAAGGUCUUUGACAUUCAGUGGGAUGAGAAUCUCAGAACAGACUGACUACUAGGGACUCCCAAGCUACAGUUCAGAAACCAUUUUGGUAGGUGCGGGUUGCUUGUCAGAAAUCCGUUCCAAAGCUUGAGUACAAAGCGAGCAGGUUACUAAUGACGGAUGUGAAUGGAUAUCCUAAGGAUAACAAUGGAUAUAGCAUGUUCAAAAGCAGUGGCGUUCUGGCCCUAAUCCUGCCACUGAAUUUGUUCAAAUGGACCUCAACAGCCAUGGGGCCUGGCUGAGUUGAUGGGACUCUGGAUGACUGCAAGUUUCUACUCUGAAGAUCUGAUUGCUUAUUAUGAUGAUAUCUAAGAGCUUCGCAGUAUUUGAUGAAUUUUUGCGUAUUCCCAGGACAACAGAAAAGCACCGCUGUCCUGUUUGACCAAGGAGAAAAACGAGCCACUCGUUCAGUCAGUAGCUAAGUCGAUGUUAUUAAUUGGCUUCUCCUGCCUUUUAACCUUGUGCCUCCAGCUCCAUUUCUCCCUCAAAAGCCAAAGCUUCCAUUAUAAUCAGCUGCUUUGCAUUUCUACGUAAAAGGCCCAAGGUGUUUCGGUUUGGACUUCCAGAAAAAGAGGAAGACAAGGUUGCCUCAGUUCCUUCGCCUGAGUCUCCCAAGUCCUGGAAUAGAGCCCUUAAAUAAAGGGAGAUGACGGCACCGGGAAAGAAGAUGGUAGAAGAAACAGGAUGAUUAUGAUAGAAGCUGGAGACAGUCUCUGUAAGAAUACUAGCAUGACUUCAUUUCUCUGAACGGCUAUUUAAGAGGUGAUCCUCCUUCCUGAACCAGUAAUAAAUUGGGCUGGCUGCAUAUAAUGGUAGGUGUUUGGCCAAUGCAGUGCCCGCUGGAGUAUAACAUAUACUGGAUAACCAGCCUGGGGUGGGGGGAGAGGGGUGGUGGCUAGAAAAUUACUUUCCCGUUAAAUAAUGCUACUGAUGAGUAUUUGGUGAGCAGGUGCAGCUGUCACAGUGCAUUUUCCAGCUUAUCUUUGCACAGGAGUAUGGGGAAAAGAAGAGGAGAGAAAAGGGACAGAAAGGAGAGAAAUGGAGAAAGGAUAACAGUUUUCUGAGGUUUGUUCUGCUCUUCCAGGAUAUGUUCUUUGCCCUCCUUAAGUGAUUCACUCUGAUAACUUGUAGUACUUGUAAUCUUCCUUGAGCACCGUAUCUCAUUGGGAAGUUAGCAAGUUAAUGAAGUUGUUGAAUAUGUGGACAAUUCCCCAAAUGAAUGAGGAACACUCCGUUUUCUACCACUGCAUUGUCAGGGAUGAGAUGGACACUACUCAGUGACAACCAUACACAGUUGGCUGUAUUCAGCAAAAGGGCAAAACGGUCCUGCCAAACUAUGCGAGUUCCUUUUUGAAGCUGUAAGCUAAUGGUUAUUUCCUACAGCAGUUCCGGUAACUGCUUGUAUGCAAUGUAGACAUCAUGGUAGAUCCUGUGUAGUUACCAGAUAGAGUGAUGUGUGCUGCAUCCUCUAUUUCUUCAGAUACCAGCAUCCCAUAAAUUCACAUUAUUUUCCUGUUUUGUGGAGAUAAUACUGUGCUAAGGUUUCCAAUAUCAGGGACUGUGUUGGUGUUAAGGUGUCUUCUACAUACUCAGAAGCAGAUGGUUUACCCUGUGUUGCGGGUACGGGUAGAGUCCUGUAUAAAGGGUCAGAGUACAGGUCAGAGUGAUGUCUGUAUAUUGUGUACUUUCAGAAAACAUAUAGAUAAGGGAAUAAGUAGCUCUGUCCCAGCACUAUACCUAGCUCAAGGAAUCUUUCCAAUUUAACUUGCAGCAUUGAGGGCUAUCUAAAGGACUCCUGGAUGUGAGGGAGUAUAUCUUGUUGAAUCUUCUGGGCUGGAUAAAAUAGGAAGGGAAUCUCGGAUAUUUCUCAUCACCUUAGGCCUGGUUGGAUUCCGCCUGUUCAGGUGUAGAAGUCUAAUAGUGGUGUCAGCAUCAGAAGCUUACCUGCCUCUAGACUGGAGCGAGGGUGGCUGAGUACUAAUGCCUUUAGAGGAGAGUGUGUAGGUGGACAGCAGCAUUUGGGGUUUAUUAGAAGCAGCUGAUAAGAGUUAUCUUGGUGGUGGACUUGAGCGUACGAUCACAUAAACGGUCUGGAGAUUUUGGAGAGGGAAUGAAUAUUUGAUGCAAUGUUUCCAGAAAGUUGAAGAGGGGAGUGGAUGUUGCACUGCAUGUUGUGCGCUCAGCAAAGCAAACAUCUCAACAGGUCAGUGAUUUCAGAAAUUGUGCAGUUCGGGAAGAACACUUCUUGAACUCCUUUUUGCUGUUGAAGCUGAGCACCAUUCCCAUCUGUCUGAAACUCUGCAUUGAGAGCUUCACGGAGGCACUCAAAGAAGUUCUGUGCUUAUACAUAAGGAAUAAGAUGCUAAAGGAAUCACACGUCAUAAUAGUAAAUAUUUUCCAUGACCAUUACCAUGAAAUGGUUACUUUCUAUACACAUUUUCACUAUAAAAAGAUGUUCAUAGCAUACUGAUCAUCAGAAGUCCAUACUGAUGUAUCUUCAUCAGUUUUGCCUGCUUUGUGAGCUGAACAGUGUGGGUAUACACUCUUGCUAUGGAAACAUGUUUUCUUGGAUACUCUACUGUAUAUCUGUUAAUUCCUCAAAAAGUGUACAAAUUUUAAUGUUAUCCAUUCUAUGGAUAAAAGCACUGUGUAAGUACUGACCCUGGUUUAAGAACGUAUCAGCUCUAGAAAUGAUGGAAUUGUCUGCAGGGCUCACAUGUCAACAAAAAUCAGCUGGUUCGCACAUGAAGCCCGGUGAGGAAAUUAGUGCAGCAGCACCGGUGCCGUCCCUGCUCCCUGCCUGCCUCUCCCAGACCACUUCUUUUAGUCAGCCAAGGUUACCUUGUCUGGCCGCUGCUUCUCCACAGUUACCACUUGCUCGCACAUCUAGACUAGCCAGCCACUCAUCCAUGCUGAAAGGACAAACGGCCUUCUGAAACCCUGUUCCCUAGAUAAUGCUCUCUAAUAGAAGACAGCCAGCAAUAUAUGCAGAUUACUUGACGCAAUCUGAGCAAAUCCAGCUGGAAAGGUAAAGCAAAGCACAUUCCAUGCAUUGUUACUAUUUGCAGACAUGCUAAGUCUCAUUUCUUUGAAUGGAGUCUUUCUCUUCCAGAAAUUAUUUUAAGGAAAUAUUUGAAGUAUCUCCUGAAGAUUUCAAAUAAGACACAGAAAAAAUUGGUUAUAAGUCUGCAUCUAAUAAGCAACUGAGAAUCGUGUUCAUCUGGGCUGCAUACAGGUGGGCACCGCAGCCUCAGGAAAAGGGCAAAUACGGCCAGUGCUUUUUCCAAGUGUGCUGUGAAUAACCUACCUGCUGUAUAGCUGGAAAUGUUCGAAAGCAACCGUGGCAAUCUAAAUCACAAGCAGCCCCAUAAGUACAUGUGCCCAGAUGCCCUGUCGCUGCACGUUUCGCUCUUGUUUUGAGCUCAAAAUGUAACAUUUUUACUGAGAAAAGCUUUCAGAUCUCAUUAAAAAUAGCCUAAUAGUAGCUUUGAUUUGACUGACAAGCUAGUUUUUGUUGUGCCUUUUUCACUGUAAUAUUCUCUUAAUUCUGACCCGAAGAAACAAUGACCUCGUUCCUUGGGAGGGAGGACAGAGUGACAAAAUCCGGAGGUCCAGUGACGACACUGAAUCUCCUCAUUGUCAAAGCGAGCUAUGAAAUCACCUGCCUUCCAGCCAGAACCACUGGGGAGUAAACAGUGUCUUUCACAGAAAGCAAAAUUUGCAAGAGAAGGUGGUGGCAUGGAGCAGCAACCUUCUUGCCCCAGGAGAGCUGUGCUGCCCUGCAUCCUGUGUCUCCUGAAUCUCAUGGAAUUGGUGCGAGUUCCUUUUCUCACCCCUGUCAGCAACCACCGCACUCGAGUGGGCACAGACUUGCUAAGGCCUGGCUCUUUAUAUACUGUGACUUCCUUGAAAAUUCUGUUGAGGAGUCUCACCAAGGUGUUUCACAAAGUUAUUUUGGGAGCUGGGGAGAAUGAGAUCCCUGCUCUGCAUCUCUCUCUUGAUCAGGCUUCACUGCCAACCAAGUGGUCUGUACUUCUUGGGAUUCUCUGUCCUUGUUUGUCUUUGCUAGAAGUCUUCAGCUGUGAGCUACACGGGGGAUGAUCCGAAGUGAGAGGAUAAUUUUAAAUAAAUAAAAUAAAACACUGUUUUCAUCGUUCA